GGCAACGUGGCAGAGUGGUUAACGCGUGCGACUAGAAAUAUAUCUUGCAAUCGCAUCCCUUCGGGGUCACAGGUUCGAGUCCUGUCGUUGUCG